AUAUAGACAGCUUAUUGUAAGGCCAUUAUUACUUCAAAAAAAACACAAAUUCAAGUAAAAAAAUUAAUCAUGUAAAAGUUAGUAUAGGCUUUUAUUUAAUUAAUUUUUAGGAGAAAGUACAUGAAAACAAUAACACUAAACAACCUAAUAACAGUUGAUGGAAUUUCUGUAUCAGAGUUAUCGAUACGUGAACCUAAAGUNGAUGAAGUUCAGGAAUUAAUAUAGACAGCUUAUUGUAAGGCCAUUAUUACUUCAAAAAAAAACACAAAUUCAAGUAAAAAAUUUAAUCAU